GUUGAAAGUUGCCNUCUAGCUAACACUGUAGGAUGGGCCCGCGGCGCAUUAGCUAGUUGGUAAGGUAACGGCUUACCAAGGCCACGAUGCGUAGCCGACCUGAGAGGGUGAUCGGCCACACUGGGACUGAGACACGGCCCAGACUCCUACGGGAGGCAGCAGUAGGGAAUCUUCCGCAAUGGACGAAAGUCUGACGGAGCAACGCCGCGUGAGUGACGAAGGCCUUCGGGUCGUAAAGCUCUGUUGUUAGGGAAGAACAAGUACCGUUCGAAUAGGGCGGUACCUUGACGGUACCUAACCAGAAAGCCACGGCUAACUACGUGCCAGCAGCCGCGGUAAUACGUAGGUGGCAAGCGUUGUCCGGAAUUAUUGGGCGUAAAGCGCGCGCAGGCGGUCUCUUAAGUCUGAUGUGAAAGCCCACGGCUCAACCGUGGAGGGCCAUUGGAAACUGGGGGACUUGAGUGCAGAAGAGGAGAGUGGAAUUCCACGUGUAGCGGUGAAAUGCGUAGAUAUGUGGAGGAACACCAGUGGCGAAGGCGGCUCUCUGGUCUGUAACUGACGCUGAGGCGCGAAAGCGUGGGGAGCGAACAGGAUUAGAUACCCUGGUAGUCCACGCCGUAAACGAUGAGUGCUAGGUGUUGGGGGGUUCCACCCUCAGUGCUGAAGUUAACACAUUAAGCACUCCGCCUGGGGAGUACGACCGCAAGGUUGAAACUCAAAGGAAUUGACGGGGGCCCGCACAAGCAGUGGAGCAUGUGGUUUAAUUCGAAGCAACGCGAAGAACCUUACCAGGUCUUGACAUCCUCUGCCACUCCUAGAGAUAGGACGUUCCCCUUCGGGGGACAGAGUGACAGGUGGUGCAUGGUUGUCGUCAGCUCGUGUCGUGAGAUGUUGGGUUAAGUCCCGCAACGAGCGCAACCCUUGAUCUUAGUUGCCAGCAUUCAGUUGGGCACUCUAAGGUGACUGCCGGUGACAAACCGGAGGAAGGUGGGGACGACGUCAAAUCAUCAUGCCCCUUAUGACCUGGGCUACACACGUGCUACAAUGGACGGUACAAAGGGCUGCGACACCGCGAGGUGAAGCGAAUCCCAUAAAGCCGUUCUCAGUUCGGAUUGUAGGCUGCAACUCGCCUACAUGAAGCCGGAAUUGCUAGUAAUCGCGGAUCAGCAUGCCGCGGUGAAUACGUUCCCGGGCCUUGUACACACCGCCCGUCACACCACGAGAGUUUGUAACACCCGAAGUCGGUGAGGUAACCUUUUGGAGCCAGCCGCCGAAGGUGGGACAAAUGAUUGGGGNGAAGUCGUAACAAGUAGC
rnacentral:rRNA from 2 species